CAGUCGCCACGGUAAUACCGAGGGUGCAAGCGUUAAUCGGAAUUACUGGGCGUAAAGCGCGCGUAGGUGGUUUGUUAAGUUGGAUGUGAAAUCCCCGGGCUCAACCUGGGAACUGCAUCCAAAACUGGCAAGCUAGAGUAUGGUAGAGGGUGGUGGAAUUUCCUGUGUAGCGGUGAAAUGCGUAGAUAUAGGAAGGAACACCAGUGGCGAAGGCGACCACCUGGACUGAUACUGACACUGAGGUGCGAAAGCGCGGGGAGCAAACAGGAUUAGAGACCCCAGUAGUCCCUGUCUCUUAUAC
rnacentral:rRNA from 1 species